rnacentral:rRNA from 1 species
ACGGGGUGCAGCAGGCGCGAAAUCUUCACAAUGUGCGAAAGCACGAUGAGGGGAUCCCAAGUGCUGGCACGUAAGUGUCAGCUGUUUCUUAGUCUAAAAAACUGAGAGAGUAAGGGCUGGGUAAGACGGGUGCCAGCCGCCGCGGUAAUACCUGCAGCUCAAGUGGUGGCCGCUAUUAUUGGGCCUAAAACGUCCGUAGCCUGUUUAGUAAAUGCUUGGGUAAAUUGUGUAGCUUAACUAUACGAAUACCGAGUAGACUGCUAAACUUGGGACCGGGAGAGGCUAGAGGUACUCCUGGGGUAGAGGUGAAAUUCUGUAAUCCUAGGGGGACCACCAGUGGCGAAGGCGUCUAGCUAGAACGGGUCUGACGGUGAGGGACGAAGCCCUGGGGCGCAAACCGGAUUAGAUACCCGGGUAGUCCAGGGUGUAAACGCUGCUUGCUUGAUGUUAGUUGGGCUCCGAGCCCAACUAGUGUCGGAGAGAAGUUGUUAAGCAAGCUGCCUGGGAAGUACGUCGCAAGAC